GGAGUUGUGGCUCAGAGGUAGAGCGCUCGCCUCAAACAUGCGAGACCCUGGGUUCGAUUCUCAGCACCA
rnacentral:tRNA from 1 species